AUUGAACGCUGGCGGCAGGCUUAACACAUGCAAGUCGAGCGGGGGAAGGUAGCUUGCUACCGGACCUAGCGGCGGACGGGUGAGUAAUGCUUAGGAAUCUGCCUAUUAGUGGGGGACAACAUCUCGAAAGGGAUGCUAAUACCGCAUACGUCCUACGGGAGAAAGCAGGGGAUCUUCGGACCUUGCGCUAAUAGAUGAGCCUAAGUCGGAUUAGCUAGUUGGUGGGGUAAAGGCCUACCAAGGCGACGAUCUGUAGCGGGUCUGAGAGGAUGAUCCGCCACACUGGGACUGAGACACGGCCCAGACUCCUACGGGAGGCAGCAGUGGGGAAUAUUGGACAAUGGGGGGAACCCUGAUCUAGCCAUGCCGCGUGUGUGAAGAAGGCCUUAUGGUUGUAAAGCACUUUAAGCGAGGAGGAGGCUACUCUAGUUAAUACCUAGGGAUAGUGGACGUUACUCGCAGAAUAAGCACCAGCUAACUCUGUGCCAGCCGCCGCAGUAA
rnacentral:rRNA from 1 species